AACGAACGUUAGCGGCGCGCUUAACACAUGCAAGUCGUGCGAGAAAGGGCUUCGGCCCCGGUACAGCGGCGCACGGGUGAGUAACACGUAGGUAAUCUACCCCCAGGUGGAGGAUAACCUUCCGAAAGGAGGGCUAAUACUGCAUGAGACCACGACCUCGCAAGGGGAUGGGGUCAAAGCCGGCCUCUCUACAGAAGCUGGCGCCAGGGGAUGAGCCUGCGGCCCAUCAGCUAGUUGGCAGGGUAAUGGCCUACCAAGGCGAAGACGGGUAGCUGGUCUGAGAGGAUGAUCAGCCACACUGGAACUGAGACACGGUCCAGACUCCUACGGGAGGCAGCAGUGGGGAAUCUUGCGCAAUGGGCGAAAGCCUGACGCAGCGACGCCGCGUGAGUGAUGAAGGCCUUCGGGUUGUAAAGCUCUGUGGAGGGGGACGAAUAAGUGGUGGCUAACAUCCACCAUGAUGACGGUACCCCUUUAGCAAGCACCGGCUAACUCUGUGC
rnacentral:rRNA from 1 species